AGUGAAGAGGUGCCAGAAUCCGCGAAGAGGGUCGACGAAUGCGCUGCCGCGGAGGUGGGCCAAAUAAUCAUGGCAACAGGACUUUUAGAAGCACGUCCUCUGAAAGCCAUUUUCUGCCUGUGGUUGGAAAGGGACUGUGAGUCUUUCCUCAGGAAGUCAGUAGCCCUACCUGGUGAGGUGAUCAAGAGUUUGCUAGCACAAGAGAUGAAGCAACAAUGGCCAUGAGGGAUUCAAGGAUUAUGCGUCUCUGCACCCUACAAUACACCAACUGGCAGUUCCAUCAUUUGAAAGAAAAUCUUCAAGGUAAAGACAUUUACAAUGACACAAAAACCUUUCAAAGGCAUCAUGGUCCUAAAGGGCUUUCCCCAAGGGACAGCACAGUGUGUUCCAGGCCCUGACAAGAGGUUUAAGACCUGUGACACAGACUGAAGCUCUCCUGGCAUACUCUGAAGCUCUCCUGGCACCCUCCCCUUUAUGCUUCACAGGUGUUUCUCCUAAUAAAUUUCUUGUAUGUCUCAUCCCAUCUGGG
rnacentral:lncRNA from 1 species